UUAAAGAAAAAUGUAGUCAAAUUUUAAAUAAUGUAGGUAGUAUAAUCCUUUGAUUGUAAAUUAUUUUCCCUACUACGUAAAGCUGGUACAAUAGCCGUACGGUUUUUUAUAUACCGAAAAGCAUUCAUUCAUCAUGGAGUCCAGGAUGAUUUACGAUGUGAUGGUAGAACAAUGCUGGAUUACCACCCUAUAAUUCUUGAAACUACAUUAGUUUCCAAUGCCAGUGGAUCGGCAAGGCUGAGACUUGCAAACUCAACAACAUCUGGAAAAUGAAAUUUGCAAAUUCCUACAAAGAUCCUAUGCUUCAGCUGAUGUGAUAUUUCCACCAGUCCUGAUGUAUCAACACUGGUGCAGAGUCUACGACAAGCCUUGGCCCUUGAAGCUAAAUUCCAACCAAAGCUUCAACUUCUGUCAACACUCAACAGCCAGCAAUACAGGAGAAAGCGGUGAAAUUAUGUGUGCAAUGAGGGAUGGAGCUGCUCAUGUUCUUCGCUGCAUGAAAGUCUGGUAUGAUCUUCCUUAUGCAGUUCUUCUGGAUGCUCUCAACAUGAUGGACUGGUUCAUGAGCCGCAUGAAAGCACUCCUGAACACCUCUCAUGCAUAGCAAUCAGCUCCUUCCAUCUAGCAGCUUGCCAAUGGGUGGAGAGGAUUAAACAGAACAACAUUGAGGUAUCUUCCAUUCAGAGUCCAUUGUAGAUUGUUCCUGAACCUCAAUAUCUGGUAACGAUAUCUUAAUGUAAAUGUACCGCCGGAGACAUCAACCGGAUGGAAAAAAUUGUCUAAGCCAAGUUAGCUUGUCUACCCCAAGAAGAACCGGUCACGACCUUAAAAUUCCUCAACCUGUAUCACUCACUUCUCUCGACGACUUUACCUGCCGCUCUUCAGCAAGACCUUCUUAUUCUUUCAUGCAAGCAGGAGACCAUUUGCUGUGACGCAAAAUAAUGCUGCCUUUCCCUCAUCUCUUUUGGCUUUCGUCCUACUGUUUGUCGAAAUGAAGUGUCACCAGCCGGCCAUCGAGGUUAUUAUCAGAGACGUUUUACUAGAACUUCAGCGACUUGUUCAGGUCAAAGAUGACUAGUUGAAGGUGUGUAUAACAAUGGUCACUUCGGAAAUGGCACCUUACGAUGGCUAUGCCCAAAGCAAUCCGUCUCAUCGUCAACGACUUACCUGGAAGUUGUCCUUUUUCUACUAUUUCUUUGCCUUCUAAACCAUUUAUAAUAAGUUUUGCCUUUAGUAAAGCAAAAUGCCUAGCUUUUUCUAGUCCUAUACCACUUACUUGUUGAGCAUGUGUAAAUUCGGGUCUCAGUGAUAUAUGAUUACCACUCUUAACAAGAAAACUAUAUAUUUCUUUACUCACUACAUCAGAAGUUUCUCCAAGUGUGCGGUCGAAAAUUUUAGUCGAAAUUCCCUUCAUAGAUAAGAGAAAUAAAGCCGUAAUUUCAUCCUAUAAACGUUCAAUUAAUCUAUCAAAAAUCUUAUCUUGUUUAGGGUGGUUAUUAACCUUGUAUGUUAUUUAUAUAAAUUUAAAUACUAUAAAUAAUGGUUCGAAAUUAACUGAAAAAAGCAACAAGACUUCUGUAUAAUUUUACAUAAUUUCGAUGUUACGUCAUGACGUCAUACGUCGAGUAUGACUUGAUAACCACCCGAAUCAGUAAGUAUCGGCUUUGACCUAUUCAUGAACUUAUGUAGCCCACAAUUAUAAAAGCAAAAUCUCCUGUCCUAUUUACAAUAAAUGCUUGAAUUGCCGCUUUA